rnacentral:rRNA from 1 species
CAGCCGUAAACUAUGCGCGUUAGGUGUACUGGUGACCACGAGUCACCGGGGUGCCGAAGGGAAACCGUGAAACGUGCCGCCUGGGAAGUACGGUCGCAAGGCUGAAACUUAAAGGAAUUGGCGGGGGAGGCACCACAACGGGUGGAGCCUGCGGUUUAAUUGGACUCAACGCCGGAAUCUCACCGGAUAGGACAGACAUAUGAUAGUCGGGCUGAAGACUCUACUUGAUGAUCCUGAGAGGAGGUGCAUGGCGUCAGUGACU